rnacentral:tRNA from 1 species
GCCCGCAUCGCAUAGUGGUAUUGCACGGCCCUGGAAAGGCCGGCCCUUUACUGGGCAUCCAGGUUCAAUUCCUGGUGCGGGCG